rnacentral:lncRNA from 1 species
ACGAGGACUUCCCAGGGGGUCACCCAUCCUAGUACUACUCUCGAACAAGCACGAUUAACUUCGGAGUUCUGAUGGGAUCCGGUGCGUUAGUGCUGGUAUGAUCGCAUCCGACAUUCCUUGCACUCUAAAUUCUCUUUAACACCUUUCCUCCUUCCGCUUUUGGUGCGAAGGUGUAAAGCCUUAAAACGACAUACACUUUACGCCCAUUUAUCCGUUUUACGCAAUUCCUCUUUUGAUUUCUACUAUUUUUCGCGGGCAAAGACAUUCACCACCAACAACAAGCCGCACUCGACGAUAAUAUCACAAUCACAAUCGACGACAUCGCAACUAGAUGUUUUACGGAUGUAGUGACAUGUCAAGCGCAACUAGACUUAAGGGUUAACCCCGUAAAUAUUUUCCUUAUUUACUGCAUAUUGCUUUUUCUCACAAUUAUUUUCUUUAAAAAAAUUUUAUUAUUUCAUGUAAAAAAAAAUAUCGUUCAUAUCAAGUAAAACUCAUUUGUGAAUUUAUUAGAGCUACCGCAGAUAUAUUAAAAGUAGUAAGUUGCAAAUAUUGCCAAAAACAAAGGGAUGCAACACGAGGACUUCCCAGGGGGUCACCCAUCCUAGUACUACUCUCGCCCAAGCACGCUUAACUUCGGAGUUCUGAUGGGAUCCGGUGCGUUAGUGCUGGUAUGAUCGCAUCCGACAUUCCUUGCACUCU